rnacentral:lncRNA from 1 species
UCCAUCGCUCUUACACACACUACACGCGCGUCAGCUAACGCACAAACACGCGCGCGCGCACCGCUCACCGGCCAGCUGCUAUAGAUCGCUCGAUCGCUCACCGCCGCCCUCGAACUCUAGAUCGGCGUCGUCGUCGUCGUCGUCGUAUAAGACCACGGUACUCGCGCGCGACAUGCUCACACGGCCGAUUGCCUGCACCACUGCCGUCGCCGAUCACCAUCACACGCAACUUUAUCGUCAUUGUUGUUGAGUCGAUAAUAAUAAUAUCUUAUAGUAUAAUUUAAUAUUUAUUAUUAUAAUAAAGAGGUCUGCCUGUCGCCGCUGAAUCGAAUAAGAGACACAAUAAUUAUUAUUAUAAUUUAAACUACAAACGAAACACGACAGUACAUCGACCAGACGACUGCUGCAACACGGGCGCGGGUCACGAGUAACCUACAACUGGGUCACGUCCACAAUAAAAAUCGUCUAUACAUAAUAACAUCGUUUUGCAUCCGCAUUACCCGUCACGUAACACCCGAAAACGUCAAUUGCACCGUUCACAGUGGUAUAUUUUCCGUUUUUCGACGCGAGCGCGCGCAUAGCAACGCCUGUGGAGAUCACUGUAUUAGCUGCAGCCGUCGUCAUCUCGCGAGAUUCGAACCCGGUCCAUCACCGAUGACAACGGUUUGACGUCACCCGAUCCAAUAACUCAUUCACGCAACACGUCCACGUCCGUACAAAAUAUGAUAUCCAAAGGUUCGUCCAAGACCAGGGUGCCAGACGGUUCCCCGACCCGGUCGACGGGCGGUGAUGUGAACAACAACGGUCCCACUAAGUGUAUGAACGGUGCGUGCGGCGGUUACGGUCCAUCGUCGGCCGGCGGCGGUGGAGGUGCCGGCGACAGUCCGGCCGCCCAACCGCGACGCGUCCAGGUUACCGCCAAAAUACUGUUCGGCUCAGUGAACGCCAUAUCAACAAUGAAGCAGAACGACAAGCUGCACAGAAAAAAAUCGCAAUGACCGUCGGGCGCGCCUCUACAGCAACUACGACGACCUGCGCACCGUCCGCCGCCCCAUCCGCCGCAAUGGGCCCAACAGCGGAGGUAGCAUCACAGCGGCCCGCGACGCGGUUUCCGGCGGCGGGGCGAGCACGAGUUUUGAAACGCCGUGGAAAUCGCAACAGUCUCACUUUCGCUGUACACUACCUUAUUGUGGACCAAGUGGAAUUUUAAUUUAUUUUCAAAAACAAACAAAUCUCAUUUUAUUUCUUAAUAAAUAAUUGUUCGUAUAAUACAAAUAUAUAUGAUGUAUAUAAUAUGGACAUCAUAAUAUGAAGGUAUGUAACAUUUCGCUCUUAUAUCGAUUAUCAUCGAUUUAUAUAUGACGAGGUAUAGGUACUGCAGUUCUAUAUUAUUUCGUGCAAAACAAUUUAGUCAACAACCACGAUCUUUUUGAUAGAUAAUUCCACUACCUACAUUGUACAUAACUUAUUUAUUCGAUCAAUAUUUUUAGUUAAUCAAUUAAUUACGGUUUUACAAUUUAAAAACUAAAUUAUUUUAAAUAAAUAUGUAACGAUAUUUUACUAUAUUUAAACAUAUAUAAUUUAUAUCAAAAACGCGUGUAAACUAUAGUGUAUCUAUUAUAGGUUACUUGCUAAAUGCAUUAUUUUGUAGAUAAAUUAUUGUUUUUUUUUUUUUUAAACAUGGCUGUGAUAAAAUAACUUUUUGCAAUCCCUAUACGUUUUCCCCACCGGUUUUCAUCUAAAAUGUUGUUUGACAAAAUACCGCCGUGGUACUUUUGAAACUGCAGGGCCGGCAAAUUAACUUUUUGUUGAACAAAAAACACAUAGUUGACAUUUUAAUUGUUUAAUGACAAUUUUGAUUGUUUUUCAAUGCACUAUUGAUAAACAUAAUACAUACUACAUUGUAUAAUAGCCAGUAAACUAUACUUAUUUCAUGUAUAUCUUAGCUACUACAGUACUACGACAUUUGCAAACAUACAACUUAUUACUUAACCAUAUUAUAUUAACAACGGCUGUUUUUCUUUGAACUGUAUACAACUAUAAUAUCGUGUAUUAUGAAUAUAAACAUAAUAAUUAAUAAUAUGUAACUUUAACGUGUGUUUAAUAUACUUUUGUACAUCAACAUCAAUACUAAUCAAUAUAUUACGAAUCAUGUGGAUUUUUAUUUUAUACAAAAACAGUACUUAUUUACUAACGUAACUGUAGAUAAACACAUAGCAGAUAUAAAUAUUAACUAUACUUUACACGUACUUGCUGUAUAAAUAAAUGUAUAUUUUUUAAACUUAUAGUGUUGAAGACUAAUGAAAUUUGUCUAUAGGUAUAAUAUUUACACAAAUAAACUCAAUAUAUUUAUACCUAUACGGUUA